rnacentral:rRNA from 1 species
UGCCAGCCGCCGCGGUAAUACGAAAGGUGCAAGCGUUGUUCGGAUUUACUGGGCGUAAAGAGAUCGUAGGUGGUUUAUUAAGUCGGAUGUGAAAUCCCGGGGCUCAACCCCGGAACUGCAUUCGAUACUGGUAGACUAGAGUUUGGGAGGGGUAAGCGGAGUUCCGUGUGUAGCAGUGAAAUGCGUAGAUAUACGGAGGAACACCUGAGGCGAAGGCGGCUUUCUGGACCGAUACUGACGCUGAGACGCGAAAGCGUGGGGAGCAAACAGGAUUAGAUA